rnacentral:misc_RNA from 1 species
CAAUUUUCAAAAAUAUUAAUUAUGAUAUAAUUAAUCAAAAGCAAUAAAUCUCAAUAUCAUGUCUAUCCGUACAUUCAUGAGUCCUCACUGAUCACAAUUCAAACCAAAAGCGAUAAAUCUCUGUCUCAUGUCCAUCCAUACAUUCAUGAGUGCAUCUUAUUGAUCAAAAUGAUCUAGAUACUCAACUACAUUCUAGCUUGUUCCAGACAGAUCACAGAUCCUUUCCAACAGGAGGGACUGGCACUUCCAUAGUUCCUUCCAACAUGAGGACCACAUCCUUCAUACAAGGACGCAGCGUGGGAUCAUCCUGAGAACACCACAAUCCCACCUUUACCAUUCUUUCCAGAGUUUUGAAGUCCACAUCUUCAUCUUCCACAAGCUUGUCCAAUUCUCCGGCCGCAAAGCAAUUAUUUACCCAACCAGAAAGGAUUAUCUCAUCUGGAGGUACAUCUAUUUUUAUAUUGCUUCUGCAACAGAUAAUCUCCAAAAGCACAACCCCAUAACUGUAGAUAUCUGCUUUUGCUGAUAUCAGAGUAUUCCUCUGCGAUUCAGGUGCCAAAUAUCCUCCAAUCUCACUAACCCCUUCGUCUGUGCUUACUUGACUCGGUUGUAAUAACUUCGCUAACCCAAAAUCAGAGAUCUUUGCAGUCCAAGAAUCAUCUAUGAGUAUAUUUUGGGGUUUUAUAUUGCAGUGGAUGAUUUGAACCUCACACUCUUCAUGUAAAUAGAGGAUACCUCUAGCCACGUCUAGUGCAAUCCUGAAUCUCUCUCUCCAAACAGGUCGGACCUCUGCCUUGAAGAGAACAUCUGCAAGUGAACCGUUGUUCAGAUACUCAUACACAAGAAGCUUCCUGCAGCCCUCCACGCAAAAACCAAGCAACUGAACCAAGUUCCUAUGAUGAGUUCUUCCAAUGGCAGUCAUUUCAGCUCGAAAUUCUCUCUCACCUUCUUCAACGACUCUCUCUAGUCUCUUAACAGCAAUAUUUUUGCCACCUUCUUGAAGGGUUCCUCUGUAGACUGCUCCAAAACUGCCCCUUCCUAACUCUUCCUGAAAGCCAUUUGUUGCUUUCUCCAGCUCACUAUAGGAGAAUGACCGCAGAGCAAACUCUUCUGAUAAUCCCAAAUUUCCAUUUUCUGAUAUCUUUCUAUAACUAUGAACUUGAUGGCAGUAAAAAAAGAAACUAGAGACUGCAAGAGCAAAACAAACGCAAGCAAUGGAACCUGAACUUAUGGCAAGAAUCAAGAUUAAGCUUUUCUUGCCUUCUGUUGCAAUCUCUGGACCGCCAUGGCUUGCUGAACUCCCCAUAAUCACCUUGAAGAAUGCUGUGGUUGACAUGUUUCUUUUUCCAUAUCUGAGUGGAAGCUUGUAUUUUUGGCAUUUUUCACCUGUAUAUAAAACAGCCCCACAAUUACAAUCCUCUUGGCAAGACCUGGUACAGUCUUCCCUUGUCAUUGAUACGACAGAGAAAGGAAAGUCGGCCCACCAUGUAUUCUCCAUAGCGGUAAUAUUGUAAUAAAUUUUGAGAUCUUUUCUGCAAACAUCUUCUGAGAAGUUCAGAGUGCAGCCUAACGAUUUCUCACUCUGGUUUAUCCAAUCAAAACCGGGAUAACAAUUGCAGUCACCUUUAGAACCUGAGCUUGAGCAGUAACUGUUGAAGUUGCAGAAACCUUUGACUUCACAUUGAUCUUGCAACCCUACCCACUUUGUAGACAUGGUUGAGGCUGUGCUGCUAUUCUCAAAAUGGUGGGAAUACAACCUAAAAAUUCCAUCAGCAUCAAGCGUU